rnacentral:rRNA from 1 species
UACGUAGGAUCCGAGCGUUUCCCGGAAUUACUGGGUGUAAAGGGCGUGUAGGUGGGCCUCUAAGUCGGUGGUGAAAUCCUGCAGCUUAACUGUAGAAUUGCCGUCGAUACUGGAGGUCUUGAGUGCGGCAGAGGGAGAUGGAAUUCAUGGUGUAGCGGUGAAAUGUGUAGAUAUCAUGAAGAACACCGGUCGCGAAGGCGGUCUCCUGGUCCGUUACUGACACUGAGGCGCGAAAGCGUGGGGAUCAAACAGG